AUGAACGCUGGCGGCGUGCCUCAUACAUGCAAGUCGAGCGAACGGACGAGAAGCUUGCUUCUCUGAUGUUAGCGGCGGACGGGUGAGUAACACGUGGAUAACCUACCUAUAAGACUGGGAUAACUUCGGGAAACCGUAGCUAAUACCGGAUAAUAUUUUGAACCGCAUGGUUCAAAAGUGAAAGACGGUCUUGCUGUCACUUAUAGAUGGAUCCGCGCUGCAUUAGCUAGUUGGUAAGGUAACGGCUUACCAAGGCAACGAUGCAUAGCCGACCUGAGAGGGUGAUCGGCCACACUGGAACUGAGACACGGUCCAGACUCCUACGGGAGGCAGCAGUAGGGAAUCUUCCGCAAUGGGCGAAAGCCUGACGGAGCAACGCCGCGUGAGUGAUGAAGGUCUUCGGAUCGUAAAACUCUGUUAUUAGGGAAGAACACAUGUGUAAGUAACUGUGCACAUCUUGGCGGUACCUAAUCAGAAAGCCACGGCUAACUACGUG
rnacentral:rRNA from 1 species